rnacentral:rRNA from 1 species
AACGUAGGGUGCAAGCGUUGUCCGGAAUUACUGGGUGUAAAGGGAGCGCAGGCGGAUUGACAAGUUGGGAGUGAAAUCUAUGGGCUCAACCCAUAAAUUGCUUUCAAAACUGUCAGUCUUGAGUGGUGUAGAGGUAGGCGGAAUUCCCGGUGUAGCGGUGGAAUGCGUAGAUAUCGGGAGGAACACCAGUGGCGAAGGCGGCCUACUGGGCACUAACUGACGCUGAGGCUCGAAAGCAUGGGUAGCAAACAGG